GACCCAGAAGCCAUGCAGGAGGGAAGAAGGUGCCACCGGAGGUGAAGGCUGGGAAUAGCUGGAAGGGCCCCUUGGUGCAAGGUAAUACUGAUCGUCCCACCAAAAAGGGCUGCAGGCACGCUGGCUCCCUGCCCUGGCGUGGACCAGGCACUUGAAUCUGAGAUACAGGAAGACUUUGGGAUCCUCUCUGACAUUCUGUUCUCUUUCUUGAUUGGCCUCAGCCUGACCACUUCCAGGCAGGAGAACUGCUGCUUUUCAAGGAAUUCUGCCCAAUCAUAGUCAUUAUUAAUGAUCCCUGCUGACAGUUUCCUUCUGUUCAAUGCUCACUGCAUGACAGGCCCUGGGUCAAGUGCGUAGUGUAAUCUCUGUGUAAUCCUUGUGUUGUCACAGUGAGCAGAGAAUUAUGCCCAUUUUAUUUUUAUUUUUUAAUUUUUUUUAAAGAGAGAGAGAGAGAGAG
rnacentral:lncRNA from 1 species